rnacentral:rRNA from 1 species
CCGAGUCUUAAUUGGGCGUUAAGUUGCAGGGUAUAGACCCGAAACCCGGUGAUCUAGCCAUGGGCAGGUUGAAGGUUGGGUAACACUAACUGGAGGACCGAACCGACUAAUGUUGAAAAAUUAGCGGAUGAUCUGUGGCUGGGGGUGAAAGGCCAAUCAAACCGGGAGAUAGCUGGUUCUCCCCGAAAGCUAUUUAGGUAGCGCCUCGUGAAUUCAUCUCCGGGGGUAGAGCACUGUUUCGGCUAGGGGGCCAUCCCGGCUUACCAACCCGAUGCAAACUGCGAAUACCGGAGAAUGUUAUCACGGGAGACACACGGCGGGUGCUAACGUCCGUCGUGAAGAGGGAAACAACCCAGACCGCCAGCUAAGGUCCCAAAGUCAUGGUUAAGUGGGAAACGAUGUGGGAAGGCCCAGACAGCCAGGAUGUUGGCUUAGAAGCAGCCAUCAUUUAAAGAAAGCGUAAUAGCUCACUGGUCGAGUCGGCCUGCGCGGAAGAUGUAACGGGGCUAAACCAUGCACCGAAGCUGCGGCAGCGAACGUAUCACCCAAGACAACUUUACGGAGUUGACGAUUGACGGAGCGAAGCGACGUCAAAGCGUUCAUUAAAGUCGAGUUGGCUUAGGGAUACGUUCGUUGGGUAGGGGAGCGUUCUGUAAGCCUGUGAAGGUGUGUCGUGAGGCAUGCUGGAGGUAUCAGAAGUGCGAAUGCUGACAUAAGUAACGAUAAAGCGGGUGAAAAGCCCGCUCGCCGGAAGACCAAGGGUUCCUGUCCAACGUUAAUCGGGGCAGGGUGAGUCGACCCCUAAGGCGAGGCCGAAAGGCGUAGUCGAUGGGAAACGGGUUAAUAUUCCCGUACUUGGUGUUACUGCGAAGGGGGGACGGAGAAGGCUAUGUUGGCCGGGCGACGGUUGUCCCGGUUUAAGCGUGUAGGUGUGUGUUCCAGGUAAAUCCGGUUCACUUUAACACUGAGGCGUGACGACGAGGCACUACGGUGCUGAAGCAACAAAUGCCCUGCUUCCAGGAAAA